rnacentral:rRNA from 1 species
AUUGAACGCUGGCGGCAGGCCUAACACAUGCAAGUCGAGCGGAUGAAGGGAGCUUGCUCCUGGAUUCAGCGGCGGACGGGUGUGUAAUGCCUAUGAAUCUGCCUGGUUGUGCUGUAUAACGUCCUGAAACGGGCGCUAAUACCGCAUACGUCCUGCGGGUGAUAGUGGGGGAUCUUCGGACCUCUCGCUCUCUUAUGAGUCUAGGUCGGAUUAGCUAGUUGGUUGGUUAAAGGCCUACCAAGGCGACGAUCCGUAACUGGUCUGAGAGGAUGAUCAGUCACAUGGGAACAGAGACAGGGAACAGACACCUACGGGAGGCAGCAGAGGGGAAUAUUAGACAAUGGGGGAAAGCAUGAUACAGCCAGGCCGAGUGUGUGAAGAAGGUCUAAGGAUUGGAAAGCACUUUAAGUGGGGAGGAAGGGCAGUAAGUUAAUACCUAGCGGUAUUGACGUUACCAAGAGAAUAAGCACCGGCUAACUUCGUG